CAGUCGCCACGGGAAUACGUAGGGUGCAAGCGUUAAUCGGAAUCACUGGGCGUAAAGCGUGCGCAGGCGGUCCGCUAAGACAGAUGUGAAAUCCCCGGGCUUAACCUGGGAACUGCAUUUGUGACUGGCGGGCUAGAGUAUGGCAGAGGGGGGUAGAAUUCCACGUGUAGCAGUGAAAUGCGUAGAGAUGUGGAGGAAUACCGAUGGCGAAGGCAGCCCCCUGGGCCAAUACUGACGCUCAUGCACGAAAGCGUGGGGAGCAAACAGGAUUAGAUACCCGCGUAGUCCCUGUCUCUUAUAC
rnacentral:rRNA from 1 species